rnacentral:rRNA from 1 species
AUUGAACGCUGGCGGCAGGCCUAACACAUGCAAGUCGAACGAGUGGCGGAAGGGUGAGUAAUGUCUGGGAAACUGCAUGAUGGAGGGGGAUAACUACUGGAAACGGGAGCUAAUACCGCAUACAAUCGGAUGUGCCCCGAUGGGAUUAGAUAGAAGGUGGGGUAACGGCUAACCUAGGCGACGAUCCCUAGCUGGUCUUAGAGGAUGAACAGCCCCACGGUAUCUUAGACACGGUCCCGACUCCUACGUGAGUCAGCAGUGGGGAAUAUUGCACAAUGGGCUCAAGCCUUAUGCAGCCAUGCCGCGUGUAUUAAGAAGGCCUUCGGGUUUUAAAGUACUUUCAGCGGGGAGGCGUUACCCGCAGAAGAAGCACCGGCUAACUCCGUGCCAGCAGCCGCGGUAAUUC